rnacentral:lncRNA from 1 species
GAUGAUCACUUUUAUUGCUGGGUUACCUUCAAAGCUUAUUAAAGUUUCACAAUGAUCAGCAGAUUGGCUUAAGGUCACCUGCUUUAAUAACAAAACAUUAAAACCUAACAAAAAGUAAAGGAUUAAAGAUUAAUCCACAGUACAUUUAAUCUUAAUUUAUGAUUGGUCCAAAAUAAAAAAAAUUGGAUCAGGUUUUAUUAAUCUCAC